GACGAACGCUGGCGGCGUGCUUAACACAUGCAAGUCGAACGGAAAGGCCCUGCUUGCAGGGUACUCGAGUGGCGAACGGGUGAGUAACACGUGGGUGAUCUGCCCUGCACUUCGGGAUAAGCCUGGGAAACUGGGUCUAAUACCGGAUAGGAGCCAUUUUUAGUGUGAUGGUUGGAAAGUUUUUUCGGUGUAGGAUGAGCUCGCGGCCUAUCAGCUUGUUGGUGGGGUAAUGGCCUACCAAGGCGGCGACGGGUAGCCGGCCUGAGAGGGUGGACGGCCACAUUGGGACUGAGAUACGGCCCAGACUCCUACGGGAGGCAGUAGUGGGGAAUAUUGCACAAUGGGCGCAAGCCUGAUGCAGCGACGCCGCGUGGGGGAUGACGGCCUUCGGGUUGUAAACUCCUUUCGCUAGGGACGAAGCUUUUUGUGACGGUACCUAGAUAAGAAGCACCGGCUAACUACGUG
rnacentral:rRNA from 1 species